rnacentral:lncRNA from 1 species
UCAGUACGGUCCUGGAUAAUAGCCUCCAUAUAGGCGGCAUCCUUCUAUGUACUGUUUAUCAUCACGGCUAUGGACGGCCCGGCGAAGAGAAAUAUACGUUACUCUCUUUACGCGGCCUCGAACUGGAGAAGGGCCGCCUAUAUAUGCAAUCGCUGUUAAGCGGCCGAACUCCGUAUGCGGCCCCACAGGCCGAUGCGCGCGCGAGAGAAGCGACAGGGCAGACAGGGCGCGGCGAAGCCGGCGAGCCGUCGGAAACAACUGCACCACGCAUGCGCGCGAAGG